GCAGGAGCGGUGUGGGGGGACACACGGUAUCAAUUCCUGGAGGUUACGAAUAAGGAACGAGGGUGAUGCCAUGUUGGUUCGAAUCCAACCUCCUGCU
rnacentral:tRNA from 1 species